UCAAUUUACGUAUUUAUAUAUCUAUUUGUUUUUACCUUUGGGUUUGGGUUUGGGUUCUCUCUCUUUUUUUCAAUAAAAUCGCUGCUGCUGCUGCGAACAUGGAUUCUUCUGGUUCUAGCAGUGGUUCGAACUCUUUUGAAGGGUCUGAUACAUUACCGAAGAAAGCAAUACCUCAUUGCCAUAAAUUGUACUAUGACGAUGAAGACGAAAAGCAGAAAUCCAAAGUCUCUGACAUUGAAGACGACGUUGUCCCUGAUAUCGGCAGUGAUAGCGAAAGCGAUUCUGAUGGGUAUGGAGAUGGGCUUCGCGGGAUGACCAAGAAAGAGUAUCUGGAGUACUAUAAAGCUGUUGGAAUCAGCGAUGGGUUUGAUGUUCCUGAAUUUCCCCAAACCUUUGCAUUGGGUAUCAUUAUUCCAUUUCUCAGGCCUGGUGUGGAGUUCACACGGAUCACCGAUCAUUUAAACAGCUUAACAGAUGAUGCAAAUUACGAAUUUGUGAAGGUUGUGAAGGCAAACUCGAUGCCUGUUGUUGGUUUCAUGUAUUAUAUUACCUUUGAGGCCAAGGAUAAGGAUAAGGAUGACAAUCCUGUGGAAACCUUUGAAGCAAAGGUGUAUUUGGGAAUUACGGAUACAGAUAUGGAUGUCUUGAUAUGCAGGCAUAAAAAAGUUACUAUAAUCGACCAAGGUACUCACUCCUGAGAGUGUAUUGGGUUUCUUUUGGAUGGUUGGUAAGGUUGGGUUAGAGUCGACCACUAAGUUUAGGAAUGGUUCCAUUCAUUUGAUUGGAAGAGAGGUCAAAUUCUUGCAAGGAUGACAAAUUUACAAUCCAUUUCGGAAUUGAACACCAGAAAGAGUUUCCCGAGAGAUCCAAGGUUCUGAGUUUUGAGAGCUCUACAAAACUUUCAGGAAUGUUUCCAUUCAUUUGAUUGUAAGAGAAGUAAAAUUCUUGAAAGGAUGAAAAAUUUCCAAUCAAUUUCAGAAUUGAACCCCAGAAAGAGUUUCCUGAGAGAUCCAAUCGUUGAGGUGGGCUUCGUGGGAUGACCAAGAAAGAGUAUCUGGAGUACUAUAAAGCUGUUGGAAUCAGCGAUGGGUUUGAUGUUCCUGAAUUUCCCCAAACCUUUGCAUUGGGUAUCAUUAUUCCAUUUCUCAGGCCUGGUGUGGAGUUCACGGAUCACCGAUCACCGAUCAUUUAAACAGCUUAACAGAUGUUCGAAUUUAGCAGUUGAUAAUUACAACAGAAGAUACAUAUGAUGCAAAUUACGAAUUUGUGAAGGUUGUGAAGGCAAAUUCGAUGCCUGUUGGUGGUUUCAUGUAUUAUAUUACCUUUGAGGCCAAGGAUAAGGAUAAGGAUGACAAUCCUGUGGAAACCUUUGAAGCAAAAGUGUAUUCGGGAAUUUCGGAUACGGAUACGGAUGUCUUGAUAUGCAGGCGUAAAAAAGUGAACUACAAUCGACCAAGGUAUUCACUCCUGAGAGGCAUGUGACAGACUAGAGCUCGUGAUUUGGUUGGCUCACUCCGGUUCAUUGUGUGUAUUGGGUUUCUUUUGGAUGGUUGGUAAGGUUGGGUUAGAGUCAACCACUAAGUUUAGGUUGCUAUUGGAACACCAUGGAUUUUGGGAGAUGAAACACCAUGGAUUUCGAAGAGUAUGAGAGAGUUUGGUUCUUAAUUAGCAUCUUGAUUUCACUUCUCUAUGUCCAUUUCAGUCUUAAUUUAUUUUUUUAUUUUUUUUUAUUUUUUAUGUGAUAGGGUAUUAUCUAGUGAUCUAGUUCGUGUUCGAGGCCUCCUUCCCCUCCUUUGUGAGGAUAAAAAAAAUAAAAAAAAAUAUUUUCUUUAUGUGAUUAAAACAACUACUAACAUUUUAGCUCUGUGGGCUGGAUUGUAAUUUUUUCUUUGAUAUUUGCUUUUCUUUUUCUUAGAUUUUAGAUUUUAGCUUUGUUGGCUGUAUUGAAUUUUUUUUUUUGAAUUGUUGAUCUAGAAUAUAUGUAGACAUUGAAAUGUUUGGUGCAUUACAUUUGUUUUAAAAAUCGAAAUUAUAUUCGAAUUUAAUAGUAAU